GACCCGAAAAGGCAAGAUUUGGUGAAAACCAUAUCACGCAAAGCUACGGAGCUAAAGGUAAGUAAAUCCUAUGCCAGCCAGUUAUCGAUAAUGCACUUAUUUAUCCAUGUCAGCCGAGUUACCAAA
rnacentral:ncRNA from 1 species